rnacentral:rRNA from 1 species
UACGUAGGGCGCAAGCGUUGUCCGGAAUUAUUGGGCGUAAAGAGCUCGUAGGCGGUCUGUCGCGUCUGUUGUGAAAACUCGAGGCUCAACCUCGGGCUUGCAGUUGGAUACGGGCAGACUAGAGUGCGGUAGGGGAGACUGGAAUUCCUGGUGUAGCGGUGGAAUGCGCAGAUAUCAGGAGGAACACCGAUGGCGAAGGCAGGUCUCUGGGCCGCAACUGACGCUGAGGAGCGAAAGCGUGGGGAGCGAACAGG